GACGAACGCUGGCGGCGUGCUUAACACAUGCAAGUCGAACGGAAAGGCCCUGCUUUUGUGGGGUGCUCGAGUGGCGAACGGGUGAGUAACACGUGAGUAACCUGCCCUUGACUUUGGGAUAACUUCAGGAAACUGGGGCUAAUACCGGAUAGGAGCUCCUGCUGCAUGGUGGGGGUUGGAAAGUUUCGGCGGUUGGGGAUGGACUCGCGGCUUAUCAGCUUGUUGGUGGGGUAGUGGCUUACCAAGGCUUUGACGGGUAGCCGGCCUGGGAGGGUGACCGGCCACAUUGGGACGGGGAUACGGCCCAGACUCCUACGGGAGGCAGCAGUGGGGAAUAUUGCACAAUGGGCGGAAGCCUGAUGCAGCAACGCCGCGUGCGGGAUGACGGCCUUCGGGUUGUAAACCGCUUUCGCCUGUGACGAAGCGUGAGUGACGGUAAUGGGUAAAGAAGCACCGGCUAACUACGUG
rnacentral:rRNA from 1 species